GGGAAGGGACAAUCUUGGAGGGGACGACAAUACGAGCACGAGGGGGUGCUGUGGAGACUGAAGAACGGUGUCUGAAACGAAAGCGGAGGUUCCCUGGUAGCAUGCUGCACUGGAGACAAACUGAUCAUUCUCUCAAAGAAUGUUGGAAGAGUAUCUAGCCCAUGGUCAAAGACAGAAAAGAUGAGGAAACAUGAAGCUCAGUGAAGAGGCAGUGACUUGGCCAAGGUCCAGGCUUCCUCUUGUGGAGAAGAUGGGAUCUGAGUCAAGAUCACCAGCUGCCCCCUACAAUCAAGGUGCCAUCCAAGCACCGUUCUGGGCCUGGGUGCCAGAUCCCAGGAACUUGAUGUCUUCUCGCCUUCCUAUGGCCUCCAAUGUUAAUAAUGAAACCCUGACA